CAAUUAAAUUUUAAAUAGCUAUUACUAGCCUUUAAUUAAAAUUUGCUAGGUAUACUUCUAAGGAUAAGCUUAGAAGUUAAACUAUGUUUAACAUAAUUAAAAUAAGUUGUAUAAGCUUAAAAUUAGCUAUUACAAAAGUUUGUUAUAAAAUAACUAUAAAACCAACAAAAAUUUAUAUGUUUAAUACUAAGUAUUAAUGAAGAUAAAAUUAAUAAUUAAUAAUAAUUUUUACCUAUGCUAAAAUGAGUAUUAUAUUUUUUUAAAAAAUGAAAUAAAUAAUGUUUUUCAUUAAAUAAAUAAUUUAUCAUAUAUUAAUUGAAUAAAAGGAACUCGGCAAAACAUCGCUCCGCCUGUUUAUCAAAAACAUGGCUCCUUGAGUUAUUAACAUAAGGAGUCAAACCUGCCCAGUGAAUUUAUUAAACGGCCGCGGUACUCUGACCGUGCAAAGGUAGCAUAAUCAUUUGCCUUAUAAUUAAAGGCUAGUAUGAACGGUUUGACGUGAGCAAAUCUGUCUCUUUUUCAUUUUCUAAAAAUUAACCUUUAGGUGAAGAGGCCUAAAUUUUAUUAAAGGACAAGAAGACCCUGUUGAGCUUAAAAGACAAUAAUAGAAGUUGAUAUCAUAGAAAUAAAUUAAAUCUAUUUAGCUUUUUAGUUGGGGCGACUAAGGAACAAAUAAAGCUUCUUUUUAUAUAAUAAGCUAAAUAGCAUUGAUCCAGUAUAACUGAUCAAAAGAAUUAGUUACCACAGGGAUAACAGCAUAAUCUCUCUUGAGAGAUCAAAUCGAAAGAGGGGGUUGUGACCUCGAUGUUGGACUAGAAUAUCCGAAAGAUGCAGACGUCU
rnacentral:rRNA from 1 species